UUUAUGUUGAAAAUAUCUUUACAGAUGUAAUUGAUAAAUAUAGUCUUAAGAAUUCGCCAAAUAUAGAAAAGUUCUUGGUAUAUUAUCCACCUGUUAGCAAAAUGAACUCGCCCAUUGACCCACAUUCCAGUUUGUUGUGGUAUUUUUGUACAGGGUGAUGCCAAAACAGUGCCUUUUGUUGACUGGUAAACAGUCCUUCAGUUACUAAAAUGCCUUUUUCCUUUAAUUUCAGCUGGUUGCAUGGUGUGUACUGCAGAUAACUUCUCGACUCAAUCCGGCUGAUGUGAUGCUUUAGUUGAUUCGAGAGGCUACAUGUAUAUAGGCCCAGUACGUAGACAUCAUUGAUCCGGCAGUGAACAAGAUAAGUGGUUCAGCCUCCAAGAUGUGUCACCAGAAAUGCAACCGACAUUAUAGACAGGCGUGAUUACUACUCUGAUUUUGGACUGAUGGUAUACUCGUCUUCAAAAUGGACCUGACUAGGAAUGAUGAUGGUGACUUCCCUCCUCAGAAAAAAGCUCGGUUGGAUUCAAAAGUUGGUGCAGGCGGUCAUUGGCGAUAUUUCGGUCGUAAACGCAAGAAGUCCAAGAAAUCCACUGACAAAUCAGGAAAACGUAUAUUCAAUGUCGGCGACACGUGUUUGUUCAGAUUGGACUCAAAAGUUUAUCUUGGAACCGUUCUUAGUCAAGUUGAUGAACAUCAUUUCCAAAUUGAGGACUAGACAGGAACAGUGCGCACCUUCAUUUGUCUGUCACUUUGAUUAAAAGAAAGUUAAAGUUGAAACUUCUAUAGCAAGGAAUAUGAAGAUGUGAACUUUGUAUUAUUAUUUUUUGAAUGUAUGAGUCUAUUGAAUGUAAAUUAAAUGCAUAUUGUGAAUAAUUAAUAAUAAUA